rnacentral:rRNA from 1 species
UACGUAGGGUGCGAGCGUUGUCCGGAAUUAUUGGGCGUAAAGAGCUCGUAGGCGGUCUGUCGCGUCGGUCGUGAAAACUUGGGGCUUAACCCUGAGCUUGCGGUCGAUACGGGCAUGACUGGAGUUCGGCAGGGGAGACUGGAAUUCCUGGUGUAGCGGUGAAAUGCGCAGAUAUCAGGAGGAACACCGGUGGCGAAGGCGGGUCUCUGGGCCGAUACUGACGCUGAGGAGCGAAAGCUAGGGGAGCAAACAGG